AUUGAACGCUGGCGGCAUGCCUUACACAUGCAAGUCGAACGGCAGCACGGGUGCUUGCACCUGGUGGCGAGUGGCGAACGGGUGAGUAAUAUAUUCGGAACGUACCUUAUCGUGGGGGAUAACGCAGCGAAAGCUGCGCUAAUACCGCAUACGCCCUGAGGGGGAAAGCGGGGGACCGUAAGGCCUCGCGCGAUUAGAGCGGCCGAUAUCUGAUUAGCUUGUUGGUGGGGUAAAAGCCCACCAAGGCGACGAUCAGUAGCUGGUCUGAGAGGACGAUCAGCCACACUGGGACUGAGACACGGCCCAGACUCCUACGGGAGGCAGCAGUGGGGAAUUUUGGACAAUGGGGGCAACCCUGAUCCAGCAAUGCCGCGUGAGUGAAGAAGGCCUUCGGGUUGUAAAGCUCUUUUGUCAGGGAAGAAACAGCAGCUCUAACACAGUCUGCGAAUGACGGUAC
rnacentral:rRNA from 1 species